rnacentral:rRNA from 1 species
AGGUUACUGCUAUCGGUGUUCGCCUAAGCCAUGCGAGUCAUAUGUUCUUCGUGAACAUGGCGUACUGCUCAGUAACACGUGGAUAACCUGCCCUUGGGUCCGGCAUAACCCCGGGAAACUGGGGAUAAUUCCGGAUAACGCACAUAUGCUGGAAUGCUUUAUGCGUCAAAUGGAUUCGUCCGCCCAAGGAUGGGUCUGCGGCCUAUCAGGUAGUAGUGGGUGUAAUGUACCUACUAGCCUACGACGGGUACGGGUUGUGAGAGCAAGAGCCCGGAGAUGGAUUCUGAGACAUGAAUCCAGGCCCUACGGGGCGCAGCAGGCGCGAAAACUUUACAAUGCGGGAAACCGUGAUAAGGGGACACCGAGUGCCAGCAUCAUAUGCUGGCUGUCCGGGUGUGUAAAAUACACCUGUUAGCAAGGGCCGGGCAAGACCGGUGCCAGCCGCCGCGGUAACACCGGCGGCCCGAGUGGUGAUCGUGAUUAUUGGGUCUAAAGGGUCCGUAGCCGGUUUGGUCAGUCCUCCGGGAAAUCUGACGGCUUAACCGUUAGGCUUUCGGGGGAUACUGCCAGACUUGGAACCGGGAGAGGUAAGAGGUACUACAGGGGUGGGAGUGAAAUCUUGUAAUCCCUGUGGGACCACCUGUGGCGAAGGCGUCUUACCAGAACGGGUUCGACGGUGAGGGACGAAAGCUGGGGGCACGAACCGGAUUAGAUACCCGGGUAGUCCCAGCCGUAAACGAUGCUCGCUAGGUGUCAGGCAUGGCGCGACCGUGUCUGGUGCCGCAGGGAAGCCGUGAAGCGAGCCACCUGGGAAGUACGGCCGCAAGGCUGAAACUUAA